CCUACGGGUGGCAGCAGUGAGGAAUAUUGGUCAAUGGACGAGAGUCUGAACCAGCCAAGUAGCGUGAAGGAUGACUGCCCUAUGGGUUGUAAACUUCUUUUAUAUGGGAAUAAACUGUUCCACGUGUGGGAUUUUGUAUGUACCAUAUGAAUAAGGAUCGGCUAACUCCGUGCCAGCAGCCGCGGUAAUACGGAGGAUCCGAGCGUUAUCCGGAUUUAUUGGGUUUAAAGGGAGCGUAGGUGGAUUGUUAAGUCAGUUGUGAAAGUUUGCGGCUCAACCGUAAAAUUGCAGUUGAAACUGGCAGUCUUGAGUACAGUAGAGGUGGGCGGAAUUCGUGGUGUAGCGGUGAAAUGCUUAGAUAUCACGAAGAACUCCGAUUGCGAAGGCAGUUCACUGGACUGCAACUGACACUGAGGCUCGAAGGUGUGGGUAUCAAACAGGAUUAGAUACCCUAGUAGUC
rnacentral:rRNA from 1 species